rnacentral:rRNA from 1 species
GACGAACGCUGGCGGCGUGCCUAAUACAUGCAAGUUGAGCGCUGAAGGUUGGUACUUGUACCGACUGGAUGAGCAGCGAACGGGUGAGUAACGCGUGGGGAAUCUGCCUUUGAGCGGGGGACAACAUUUGGAAACGAAUGCUAAUACCGCAUAAAAACUUUAAACACAAGUUUUAAGUUUGAAAGAUGCAAUUGCAUCACUCAAAGAUGAUCCCGCGUUGUAUUAGCUAGUUGGUGAGGUAAAGGCUCACCAAGGCGAUGAUACAUAGCCGACCUGAGAGGGUGAUCGGCCACAUUGGGACUGAGACACGGCCCAAACUCCUACGGGAGGCAGCAGUAGGGAAUCUUCGGCAAUGGACGAAAGUCUGACCGAGCAACGCCGCGUGAGUGAAGAAGGUUUUCGGAUCGUAAAACUCUGUUGGUAGAGAAGAACGUUGGUGAGAGUGGAAAGCUCAUCAAGUGACGGUAACUACCCAGAAAGGGACGGCUAACUACGUGC